GCCCCCGUAGCUCAGUGGAUAGAGCAGCGCUCUCCUAAAGCGCGUGCGCGUGUUCGACUCACGCCGGGGCA
rnacentral:tRNA from 1 species